rnacentral:rRNA from 1 species
UAGGGAAUCUUCGGCAAUGGACGGAAGUCUGACCGAGCAACGCCGCGUGAGUGAAGAAGGUUUUCGGAUCGUAAAGCUCUGUUGUUAGAGAAGAACGUUGGCAGGAGUGGAAAAUCUACCAAGUGACGGUAACUAACCAGAAAGGGACGGCUAACUACGUGCCAGCAGCCGCGGUAAUACGUAGGUCCCGAGCGUUGUCCGGAUUUAUUGGGCGUAAAGCGAGCGCAGGCGGUUCUUUAAGUCUGAAGUUAAAGGCAGUGGCUUAACCAUUGUACGCUUUGGAAACUGGAGGACUUGAGUGCAGAAGGGGAGAGAGGAAUUCCAUGUGUAGCGGUGAAAUGCGUAGAUAUAUGGAGGAACACCGGUGGCGAAAGCGGCUCUCUGGUCUGUAACUGACGCUGAGGCUCGAAAGCGUGGGGAGCAAACAGG